UGCGGUCAGCUCCUCUCGAAUAGAUCAGCUUUGCCAGUGUUGGUGGCAUCACAGGUGUGAUAACUAUCUACGCUUGUGGUUUUCUACCAAAUAACCUUCAGUGAUGGAGGUUCGCUGGAGCUAAUAAAUGUCUCUCCUCAGUGAGGACAGCUUUUCAAAUGUUUGAUCUCAAAUCAGGUAGGACUACCCGCUGAACUUAA
rnacentral:misc_RNA from 1 species